rnacentral:rRNA from 1 species
AUUGAACGCUGGCGGCAGGCUUAACACAUGCAAGUCGAACGAGUGGCGGACGGGUGAGUAAUGCUUGGGAAUCUAGCUUAUAGAGGGGGAUAACUACGGGAAACUGUAGCUAAUACCGCAUACUAUAGGAUGAACCCAAGUGGGAUUAGGUAGUUGGUGGGGUAAAGGCUCACCAAGCCGACGAUCUCUAGCUGGUCUGAGAGGAUGACCAGCCACACUGGGACUGAGACACGGCCCAGACUCCUACGGGAGGCAGCAGUGGGGAAUAUUGCACAAUGGGCGCAAGCUGAUGCAGCCAUGCCGCGUGAAUGAAGAAGGCCUUCGGGUUGUAAAGUACUUUCAGUAGCGAGGCGUUAACUACAGAAGAAGCACCGGCUAACUCCGUGCCAGCAGCCGCGGUAAUAC